rnacentral:rRNA from 1 species
UACGUAGGUGGCAAGCGUUGUCCGGAAUUAUUGGGCGUAAAGCGCGCGCAGGCGGUCCUUUAAGUCUGAUGUGAAAGCCCACGGCUCAACCGUGGAGGGUCAUUGGAAACUGGGGGACUUGAGUGCAGGAGAGAAGAGUGGAAUUCCACGUGUAGCGGUGAAAUGCGUAGAGAUGUGGAGGAACACCCGUGGCGAAGGCGGUUCUCUGGGGCGGUACUGACGCUGAGACGCGAAAGCGUGGGGAGCGAACAGG